rnacentral:piRNA from 1 species
UGCCUGGAGAAGUUCCCUGUGAUCCAGC